rnacentral:rRNA from 1 species
GACGAACGCUGGCGGCGUGCUUAACACAUGCAAGUCGAACGGAAAGGCGCUGCUUUUGUGGGGUGCUCGAGUGGCGAACGGGUGAGUAACACGUGAGUAAACUGCCCUUGCCUUUGGGAUAACUUAAGGGAACUGGGGCUAAUACCGGAUAGGAGAUCCUGCUGCAUGGGGGGGGUUGGAAUGUUUCGGCGGUUGGGGAUGGAGUCGAGGCUUAUCAGCUUGUUGGUGGGGUAGUGGCUUACCAAGGCUUCGACGGGUAGGCGGCCUGAGUGGGUGAGCGGCACGAUUGGGACUGAGAUGCGGCCCAGCCUCGUACGGUAGUCAGCAGCGGGGGAUAUUGUGCUGUGGGCGGACGCCUGAUGCGGUGACGCCGCGUGCGUGAUGACGGCCUUUGGGUUGUAAACCGCUUUCGCCUGGUAUGAAGCGUGAUUGACGGUAACUGGUAAAGAAGCACCGGCUAACUACGUG